GCAGCUGUAACACGUUUAAAAACAGAAAGUCUUUAAUUCCUUCAAUAUCCACAGGAUAUUUAGCAAUAUCCCUGUGUUUGGGAACUUUUACCCUUCAUGGUGCCAUAGUUUCCCACAGUAUUCUUCAAAAUUGUUUUAUUGCAUUAUUUACCAUGGGUGUGGAGACCCAAGGACAACUUGGAGGAAUUGGUUCUUUCCUACCCUGUAGGUCCUGGAGACUGAAGGGUCGUCUGGCUUAGCAAUCAUUUUCUUGGCCAUUUACAAGUGUGUGCAUAUGUGCCUGCUUGUGUGUACACCAUCUGUGUUGGUUGUGAGCUGCCCAAUGUGGGUUCUAGGAACUGAACAUGGGUCCUUCACAAGAGCAGCAAGAGCUCUUAGCCACGGAGGUGUCUCUGCAGCCCCGGCUCCCACGGUAUUCAUCAUGUGGUAUACAAUGGGAUUGAUCUGUGGUGAUGGGUGGUUAUCCUAUUCAGAAUCACGUUUGUGUGGUUUGAGAAUUAAUCAGUUUCUCCCCAAAUUUGCCAACUCUUCCUUAAGAUUUUUACCAGAAAAAAAAAAAGCAGAUUUAAAAUUUGUUAAGUUAUGGUUUCACACUUAAAGUUUAAGAAUUGUUAUCUGUAAGGUGGCUUAUUUUAUUAAAGCAAUUUUUUUUAUUCACACAAACACACGUCUAUGCAUAGCACACACAUACACUACAUGUACACUUUUUUUAAAAAAAAAUCUAAAUUUAUGGGGUUGGGG
rnacentral:lncRNA from 1 species